UGAGGGUUGUUUAAAAUGCUACAGCAGUACAGAUCCAGCCUGUUCUUACACUAUGAAUCCACCACUGUGAAGUCACACAAACAAUGGGCAGGAUCCACAAGAUGGCCUUGAAUAAUACAUUUUAUCUGCUACCGAGCUAUGGGUUUCCUGAUCGCACACAUCACCGUUUCAAGCUGUCGUCUCAAAUGAUAUACUACGAACACAAUCAUGACUAGGAAACUGAGGCCCAAGAAGCUGCGUUUCUUCGUACUCAUCUAGCAGUGAAACCAAGCCUGGAAGUAUCUGCAGCGCCCGUUGGAAAACUCUGUCUUUAAUAUAAGAAAGCGUACCUCACCCUUUCUGAAAAGUUCAGUAUGGGAAACCGAUUUCGACUGUUAGAGUGGAGUGAAAAGGAAGGUGGUUAAGCCACACACGAGGUGGUGGUUGUGGUGUUGAGCAUGGAACCCAUCAGAUUUUCCAAGGCUGCAACACAGUGAGUGUUGGCUCCAUCAGAAAAACCAGAUUCUUCCACAAGUCGGACGCGCACGCCACCUGGUGUGCGCUGGAAGUUAUUUCGAAGAGCAUAAGUUCAUAAAUCUUGGAAUUUCUACUCAAGGCCCUUUCUGCAUUCCUAAAAGUCAUCGUCCCAGUUCUCGUCUCUGUGAAGAUUCACACUCUCUUGACAGCUAGGAAUCCGUCCAUUUUGGGACACUUUUUCUUAUGGUCAGUGUUGUUUUAGCCUGUCUGUGAUAAAAAUAAGAAUGCUGUCUUCCAUGAUGACCUUUUAAAGUUUCUGAACAGCUUUUUCUUUCUGCCUCCCCUUCACCCACAACCACUGCAGUCUUGCUUCCGUGGGGGUUUUUAUUUGUGCUCUUUGAAUCUUUUGUUUGAGGACAGAGUUCCAUGGCAACAAGAGGCUCCUCCCAGCUCCAGGACUACAAAAUUCUCCUAGCUCAUCUUGCUCUUGAACACCUCGGACUGCUUUACUGUGGGAAAGAGUUGAAUGGAACUUGCCUGCACAUGUUUAAUUACCUCGUUGUGAAUCACUGCAUCUUCCCUUCUGCCUGUAAGACACAUCUUCCGAGCCAAGCUGACGAGUUGCUGCGCGGUCCCGCUCUGCCUGGUGGGGAGUGGAUACAGAGGCCGCCUUUGUCUUUAGCCCGUUAUUUCCAUGGUCAAGGGAGGGAGAGCUCCUUGUGGGUGCUGGACUUCAUGAAUCUGUGACCUUAGUACCUAAGUACCUCUCAGUAUUUCUUCCAAGGACCCUGUUUUGUAACAACCACCACACCCUCACCAAAGAACUGCCCUGUGACCCCCGCUAUUGAGAAGCCUCAUUUAAGUGUAGCUCAACAGUCACUCCAGCAGCACAUAUACAGAAAUUGAAGCAAUACAAUCCUUAUCCUUCGGCUUCUGCCCAAGGAUAAAGUGUUUCUUGUUUUUUACAUAUUUCAAUAUGUAAAAGGUAUAUUUGAUAAAUGUUAUAUUAAAGUAAGUAAAAGAAGGAUAUGAAGCUGAGAGGAUAAAGUUUUGAGGGGGUGAGAAGUGGGAGGAGGAAUUUUGGUUGAAUAUAAUCAGAUUCAGUGGAUAGGGCUGGAGAGAUGGCUCAGUGGUUAAGAGCACUGGCUGCUCUUGCAGAGGUCCAGGCUUGAUUCCCAGCCCCUUCGUGGCAGCUCCCAACAAUUCAUAACUCCAGCUCCAAGGGGUCCAAUGCCCUCUCCUGACAUCCGAGAGUACCAGGCACACAUGUGGUAGGUACACCGCUAUACAGGUGAACACACUCAUGCACAUAAGAUAAAUCUAAAAUGUUUUCCUAAGGAUAGAUUGGAUACAUCUAUGAAGUUAGUGAAUAAUAAAUUAGAAUAUUUUUUUAAAUAAAUGAAGAGUUUGGUUCAAAAUCACUGUUCUCUCUCUCUGAAAAGCUAAAACAAGAAUUACCUACCAUGGACUAGCUAAGUUAUCUGAGAUGUUUGCCUGUCUUUUGAAGACAGUUCAGGAAAACUGAAGAGCCUGUAAUAAAUUUUUUAAAUGAAACUAUCCCAGGAUCUUAGGGGGAACAAUAGAGGAAUUUGGAAAUGUUGCUCAAUAGUAUAAUAUCUGCACAGCAUGCAGGAGGCCCAGGCUUUCAUUUCCAGUACCACAAAAACAAGUGAAAAGUGGCUAUUCAGUAUAUGACCACAGCACUUUCAGAGGGACAGAGUAGAAAAUGCCCCCUGUGACCACUCAGUUUUAGAUUUGUGAUAAAGCAGCUGUUAGAUGGUUAAGUUCAAUUAGGAAUCAUUUUGUUGCUAUGAAUUUCUUGGUAGCAAAAUGUCCCAUGAUGCCUAUGAUGAUACAUGUAUUGCAAAACUGGAAUGCUUAAAAUAAACCAUUCAUUAAAAACCUGUGAAACUCA